rnacentral:rRNA from 1 species
AACGAACGCUGGCGGCAGGCCUAACACAUGCAAGUCGAGCGAAGCCUUCGGGCUUAGCGGCGGACGGGUGAGUAACGCGUGGGAACGUGCCCUUUGGUACGGAAUAGCCCCGGGAAACUGGGAGUAAUACCGUAUGUGGUCGAGAGACGAAAGAUUUCUCGCCAAAGGAUCGGCCCGCGUUGGAUUAGGUAGUUGGUGGGGUAAUGGCCUACCAAGCCGACGAUCCAUAGCUGGUUUGAGAGGAUGAUCAGCCACACUGGGACUGGAGACACGGCCCAGACUCCUACGGGAGGCAGCAGUGGGGAAUCUUAGACAAUGGGGGAAACCCUGAUCUAGCCAUGCCGCGUGAUCGAUGAAGGCCUUAGGGUUGUAAAGAUCUUUCAGUGGGGAAGAUAAUGACUGUACCCACAGAAGAAGCCCCGGCUAACUCCGUGCCAGCCGCCGCCGUAAAAC